rnacentral:rRNA from 1 species
CUACGGGGUGCAGCAGUGGGGAAUAUUGCACAAUGGGCGCAAGCCUGAUGCAGCCAUGCCGCGUGUAUGAAGAAGGCCUUCGGGUUGUAAAGUACUUUCAGCGGGGAGGAAGGGAGUAAAGUUAAUACCUUUGCUCAUUGACGUUACCCGCAGAAGAAGCACCGGCUAACUCCGUGCCAGCAGCCGCGGUAAUACGGAGGGUGCAAGCGUUAAUCGGAAUUACUGGGCGUAAAGCGCACGCAGGCGGUUUGUUAAGUCAGAUGUGAAAUCCCCGGGCUCAACCUGGGAACUGCAUCUGAUACUGACAAGCUUGAGUCUCGUAGAGGGGGGUAGAAUUCCAGGUGUAGCGGUGAAAUGCGUAGAGAUCUGGAGGAAUACCGGUGGCGAAGGCGGCCCCCUGGACGAAGACUGACGCUCAGGUGCGAAAGCGUGGGGAGCAAACAGGAUUAGAUACCCAUGUAGUC